rnacentral:rRNA from 1 species
AGAGUUUGAUCCUGGCUCAGAACGAACGCUGGCGGCGUGCCUAACACAUGCAAGUCGGACGAGAAACUCCGCCGCAAGGCGGGGCGGUACAGUGGCGAACGGGUGAGUAACACGUGGGUAACCUGCCCUUCAGAGGUGGAUAAUUCGCCGAAAGGCGGACUAAUACACCGUAAGACCACAGGUCGCAUGAUCAGGGGUUAAAGAUGCCUUGAAGCAAUUCAGGGUAUCGCUGGAGGAGGGGCCCGCGGCCUAUCAGCUUGUUGGUAGGGUAACGGCCUACCAAGGCAAUGACGGGUAGCUGGUCUAAGAGGAUGAUCAGCCACACUGGAACUGACACACGGUCCAGACUCCUACGGGAGGCAGCAGUGGGGAAUAUUGCGCAAUGGGCGAAAGCCUGACGCAGCGACGCCGCGAGAGCGAAGAAGGCCUUCGGGUUGUAAAGCUCUGUCAGGGGGAAAGAUGUCCUGACAGCCUCAUACGCUGUCAGGGUGACGGUACCUCCAAAGGAAGCGCCGGCCAACUCCGUGCCAGCAGCCGCGGUAAAACGGAGGGCGCAAGCGUUGUUCGGAAUAACUGGGUGUAAAGGGCGCGUAGGCGGCUAUGUAAGUCCGAUGUGAAAUCCCUCCGCUCAACGGAGGAAGUGCAUUGGAUACUGCGUGGCUAGAGUACGGGAGAGGGAGAUGGAAUUCCCGGUGUAGAGGCGAAAUUCGUAGAUAUCGGGAGGAACACCCGUGGCGAAGGCGGUCUCCUGGAACGAUACUGACGCUGAAGCACGAAAGCGUGGGGAGCAAACAGGAUUAGAUACCCUGGUAGUCCACGCCGUAAACGAUGGUCACUAGGUGUCCCUUGGUAUACAGGGGGUGCCGAAGCUAACGCAUUAAGUGACUCACCUGGGGAGUACGGCCGCAAGGCUAAAACUCAAAGGAAUUGACGGGGGCCCGCACAAGCGGUGGAGCAUGUGGUUCAAUUCGACGCUACGCGAGGAACCUUACCUGGGCUUGACAUGCUGGUGGUAGCAAACCGAAAGGGGAGCGACUCCGCAAGGGGAGCCAGCACAGGUGCUGCAUGGCUGUCGUCAGCUCGUGUCGUGAGAUGUCGGGUUAAGUCCUACAACGAGCGCAACCCUUACCCUCUGUUGCCACUCCGGAAACGGAAGCACUCUGAGGGAACUGCCUCUGUAAGGAGGAGGAAGGUGGGGAUGACGUCAAGUCCUCAUGGCCUUUAUGCUCAGGGCGACACACGUGCUACAAUGGUCGGUACAGAGGGCUGCAAACCUGCGAGGGGGAGCGAAUCCCAGAAAACCGACCUCAGUUGGGAUUGGAGGCUGCAACCCGCCUCCAUGAACGCGGAAUCGCUAGUAAUCGCGCAUCAGCACGGUGCGGUGAAUACGUUCUCGGGCCUUGUACACACCGCCCGUCACACCACGAAAGCCUGUUAUACCAGAAGUUCAGCCUCGUGUUGACCGAAGGUAUGGCCGGUGAUUGGGGUGAAGUCGUAACAAGGUAACC